UGCAGAAUCCCGUGAACCAUCGAGUCUUUGAACGCAAGUUGCGCCUGAAGCCGCUAGGCCGAGGGCACGCCUGCCUGGGCGUCA
rnacentral:rRNA from 2 species